CCGUCGAAAUGUUGUCGCGCAGAGAAUAGGUUGAUAGGAUGACGUCUUUAUAUAUUUUCAUGACAUGAUUUAUGUGCCAUAGCCUACAUGCAUCAUACGUUCAUGCACGCAUAAAAUGUAAAUGCGUUAGUCACACCAUGCCAUAAGAAUUACGCUGUAAAAACAAGUCCAGAGAUUCUCCCUGUGUAAACAUUCCACUGAAGUUUACAUAGCUUCAUGCUCGAUUGCUCUUCCUGGCUACUUCAUCAUGUGGCUGUCUCCUUGUUCGCAGGGAAUUGCCAAUGUCCGAGCCUUGUGAGCCCGGCGACAAUCACCGAGGUCUCUCGUAUCGUCUACCACGGGUUCGCUUUCGUCCCGGUGCCCAUCUCGGCCGCCGCGACAUUGCACCUGGCGUUGGGCUCGCAGGUGAUUCCGGGAACACCUCCACGUGUCGCCUUCAUCAAUGGGGCACCUGUCACCUUGUCCUUCCAGAAUAUGGACAGUCAGUAGAGAAUUGUAUGCGUGUCCUACCUGGGUCAGUUCACCUCAGAGGCAGGGAUUGAACUGCAGUCAUAUGAAACGUAAAGGUGGAUGGCCAAAGGGAAAGAAGAGGCAACCUCCGAGAGAGUUAACUGCCCCCAGAGUUCCAACAGCAGGAGGAGUUUGAGAAGGACAGAGGCAGCCAGCAGCAGGCUCCAGGGAUGGAGAGAAGCCCUGUGGGUGAGGAAGAGGAGGCAGAGUUGGCUCGUACGUUGGGUCUGUCCUCGCUGGACAUCAGUGUGCUGCAGGAGCUGCUGCUCAGACACAUACUGACCAGCACUGACCACUAUUUGCCAUGACCACAUUUAUGACUUGGACAAAGCCAAUUUCUAAAAUGGCUGAAGCUGCGGAUCUAUAGCUAACCUCCCCGUCCCGUCUGCCUGGAUCCGUUUUCCCCAGAGCUGAAGAGCCGAAUCACGUUCUGCGCAUGUUUCCUUACCUAAAUUUAGAUCUUCUUGAGUCAUACAGUGUUGUUUUGAAUUAUGGACAGUGAGCGAAUUUAGAGCAGUUGGUGGAAACAAUCUGUCGCAUACUCUACCUGUGUUUAGUUUCUAUCACAGCACAUAUUUUGCCUACUGGCGCGGGCUAUUGAGUUUUGGCCAAAAAUGUGACCAUUUGCACAAACAUCCUAAAGUUCUUAAGAAAUUUGAUUGUUUUCUGUCUUACAGUAACCUUAUACUAUGCUAUUAUGGUUGGUUAUGUUACAUGGAAUCAAUAAGUGAUCUUGCAGACAUUGAUUCAACUUUGAUAGAGUGUUGUUAGAGGAAGGCCCUAAAAAAUUGUCAAAGACUCCAGCCACCCGAGUCAUAGACUGUUCUCUCUGCUACAGCACAGCAAGCGGUACCGGAGCAUCAAGUCUAGGUCCAAGAGGCUUCUAAACAGCUUUUACCACCAAGCCAUAAGACUCCUGAACAUCUAAUCAAAUGGCUACCCAGACUAUUUGCAUUGCCCCCCCCUCCCUGUUCUACACCACUGCUACUCUCUGUUGUUAUCAUCUAUGCAUAGUCACUUUAAUAACUCUACCUACAUGUACAUAUUACCUCAAUUAACCGGUGCCCCUGCACAUUGACUCUGUACCGGUACCCAUCUGUAUAUAGUCUUGCUAUUGUUAUUUUACUGCUGCUCUUUAAUUACUUGUUACUUUUAUUUCUUAUUUUUUAUUAUUAUAUAUAUAUUUUUUAACUGCAUUGUUGGUUAGGAGCUUGUAAGUAAGCAUUUCACUGUAAGGUCUACCUAUACCUGUUGUAUUCGGCUGAUGUGACGAAUACAAUUUGAUUUGAAGCAUCAGGAACUUUAGUGUUGGAAAGAGGGGUCCAGGAAAGCUGGAUCUGCAGCCACUCCGUUAUAACAACCACACUGAAACACUGUCUUUAUUUCUACACCUCUCUCUCUUGGGAGUGUUUCUGGCCCAGGAGAGGCGGAGCCAAGAUCAGCUGAGGGAGGAGCUAAACAACCUGCAGCUGGGGUUAUGCUCAGGUCAAGGACCAGCUUUCCCAUGACUCCUCACCACUCAAACAACAGUGAAUUAAAGUGUUACUGUCUCCCAUUGUAGAAUCCUUAUGCUCAGCAGGCAGUGUUCAUAUUCAUUUUGUUUUAGGUUGGCCUCUCUCUUUUUUUCUCUCACUUUCCUCCUCUCUCUUCCUCGCCAUCUGUAGGAGCAGAAGGGGUGUUUUGAGUUUGAGCUCCAGGUUCUCAGGGCCUCCAGGGAGAGCCUGGGCUCUCAGCUCCCCACCAUGGAACUAUUACUUUUUUACACAUUCAUAUUUUCAAUGAUGGCCUAGGAACAGUGGGUUAACUGCCUUGUUCAGGGGCAGAACCACAGAUUUGUACCUUGUCAGCUCAGGGAUUCGAUCUUGCAACCUUUCGGUUACUAGUCCAACGCUCUAACCACUAGGCUACACUGCCACACCAAAUGUGGGUGAAUGAGAGAGAUGGAAAAAGAGAGUCAGAAAGAAGGAAUGAUAGGGAAGAUAGGGGGAUUCAUUUCUUAACAGUUCUAAUGAGGUAGUUAUAAAUUAAACUUUAUUACUAGAUUAGUGCAAUCUAGUUGGAGGGGAUGAGGGUAUUUCCUGCUGUUGCACUUUCCAUUCAAACUGUUAAACACACCCACAUACACAUUUUUCCAUGUAUUGGGUAAUAAUCUCAAGCCCGAGGUUUAGAAUAAUGUGCUUCUUAUGAGGCCAAUCCCUUUCAUUGUGCUUAUCUCCAUCAGGGUGUUAGGUCUACACCCAGCAAGGCGAGGGAGGGUUCCAUUUGCGGGACAGCAGUGCUGGAGUUGGCAUCAAGUUCAUGGCUCAUGGUAGAGAUCACAGUCGUGUUUAAGGCCAGACAAAAGAGCUCAUAGAAGGGUAAGAGAGUCUCAUCCUUUCCUUAUCCCUGUCGGGUGGUGACUGAUUCAAGAUGAUAGGACAGGAUCAAGCCUCAUGUUAGGCAAUCACCGUAUUGAUGUCAUCUAUUAUACAGUUCAUUAAGUUCAGUGGUCAGGGAGGACUGGAGGAGAAGAAAAAGAUCAGACUAUGAUAACAAAAAUAUUACCUUUUUGUUUAUAUAUACAGUACCAGUCAAAAGUUUGGGGACAUUUACUCAUACAAGGGUUUUUCUUUAUUUUGACUAUUUUCUACAUUGUAGAAUAAUAGUGAAUAGAUCAAAACUAUGAAAUAACAC